rnacentral:rRNA from 1 species
GACGAACGCUGGCGGCGUGCCUAAUACAUGCAAGUAGAACGCUGAAGGAGGAGCUUGCUUCUCUGGAUGAGUUGCGAACGGGUGAGUAACGCGUAGGUAACCUGCCUGGUAGCGGGGGAUAACUAUUGGAAACGAUAGCUAAUACCGCAUAAUAGUAGAUGUUGCAUGACAUUUGCUUAAAAGGUGCAAUUGCAUCACUACCAGAUGGACCUGCGUUGUAUUAGCUAGUUGGUGAGGUAACGGCUCACCAAGGCGACGAUACAUAGCCGGCCUGAGAGGGUGAUCAGCCAUACUGGGACUGAGACACGGCCCAGACUCCUACGGGAGGCAGCAGUAGGGAAUCUUCGGCAAGGGACGGAAGUCUGACCGAGCAACGCCGCGUGAGUGAAGAAGGUUUUCGGAUCGGAAAGCUCGGUUGUAAGAGAAGAACGAGUGUGAGAGUGGAAAGUUCACACUGUGACGGUAUCUGACCAGAAAGGGACGGCUAACUACGUG